GGCCUGAGGGGCUGGCUUGGAUCUCACCCCUAGGCGUGCCCUGGCACCUGAGAGCCCUCUUUCCAACCAGCUUGGGGCCACCUGCGCCCCCCGCCCCACUGUGGCCCUGGCCAGACUAGUGCCUGCGUCUUGCCCUGCUACUGAGCGCCCCAAGGUGCCACGCGGCAAGUCCCCGGGCUGGUCUCGCCCCAGCAGCCAUUUGUCGGGUGCAGCGGUCCGGGGGAACUUGUCUCUGGGACGGUUUCUGGAGCAGGAGUCUAGAUGAAUAUAGGCAGCAGCCAAAGGCCACAGUCACGACAAACCUACACACUCUCACCACUGUCAUCUCAUAUUGUCCUAAAAUUUCCAGCCAGUGCAAAAAAACAUGAAAAAGAAAAAAUACAGCCAUUGGAAAAGAGGAAAAGUAAUUGUUAUUAGCUGAUGAUGUGAAUGUCUUCCUGAAAACCUUAAGAGAACCAACUGGAAAACAACCAGAAAUGAGAGCAUGGAGUUAGGCAACCGCCGAUCUGCUUUCUGUCACUUGGGCGAGUUUUUCCCGUCCUGGGAUUUCAUAUCUCUGGAAUCCUGCAGUACGUAGCCCUCUGUCUGGCUUCCUCGCUCCGUGUAAUGUUCUUGAGAUUCAUCCAUGCAGCUGUGUAUACCUGCAGUGAUUGUUUCUCUUGUUGAAUUGCUGAGAAGGGUUCCAUCGUAUGCCUUUUCCAGUUUAUUUGUUCAUCUGUUGUUAGACAUUUGAGUUAUUUCCAGCUUGGGACUCUUAUGAACAAAACUGCUAUAAACAUGCAUAUUCAAGUC
rnacentral:lncRNA from 1 species